AAUACAGACGCUGCAGUAUGUUCUGGAGUCCUGCGACCUGGAACUCUCACAGUAGGUACGCAGGCAGGCAGGACCCGGUUACAAAGGUAAAGACAGCCGGGCACCUUCCUUCCACUGGGCUUAGGAUACGGCUGCUGGAGAAGUCAGGAGGAAACAUCUUGUUGAAGAAGCAGUCUGGCAGUCUGACCAUCUCUGAUUACCCACAGACCACUUCCGAAAGACUGAAAACUUUCCUCUGUAAGAGAACUGGAAGCCACCAUCUGGCCGCUCCUUCGGUCCUUUCUAUCCUAGAGAAGAGAUUUGACUACUCUGAGGCAGUAAUCACAUCCCAAAUAUCCACCUCUGAGCUGGGAGAGGAAUCAAAUAGAGCUCCAAGAACGCAGAAAAUUGCUGGUCUGGGUUUUCUGUGUAGCAAAAUAGCCUCUACAGUAAGAUUGCUGGAGCCAGGACCAGAGCGUUCUCUUCAAGUCCAGAUAGCCGCUUCCCACCACCAACCUGGGAAAGAAAAGAUUGCCGCCUCCUCCCCAGCACCUGUCUUUCAGAUUGUCUUCCUCCAUCCUUUGAUUCUGAGCCCCUAGCUGCUCACCCUCCCCCAGCUGCUCUGGAGCCAGAGACCCAAAUCAGAAAGUGCCAGACAGUGAAUUCAGUUCUGUGGCCAAGAAGCUAUUUGUUCUUGGGUAGAUUCUUCGGUCGCGGUUCUUGAAGAUGGAAACAGGAGCGAGGACUUUAAGUGAGAAUCUCAGACUGACUUGGGAGCUGACAGACAGUGGAGAUCGCUUAAGCACCUGAACUGUGACGCUGACACAGGAAAUGAAGAAAAGGCAUCUAGACAAGAAUCACCAAAGACACAGUGCUGGUUUCAGUGUUAUACACAGUAAGGUGUUAAACCCACUUGUGGAUGAGGAAAUUAAGUCACCCAGGCCCUUGAGAAAUCUCAGUAUCCCUCACGUUCAUUGAAAGCCUCAAUCCUUUCUUUCAACCUCCCUCUUGUUUCCACUCAAUUUAAGAACUAAGAACCAUACAAUAGGAAAGAGACUCUUUUAAAAUGGGAUACAGCAUCUACUCUUAAGUUCUAUUUUCUAGAACUCUAACCAGUCAAUGGGGGGGAAAGGGAAGGGGUUCACUCUGGGUUUUGAACUUGCCACAUUGAUAAUACCCACACACUGUGGCAAACCUAAAAAGAAGCCCUGGGGGGGGGGGGGGUCUAGAACAGAUAAAUAGACAUGUAGGGAUAUUCCCAGAAAAACUGCAGGGGCAUCACCAUCUGGUAGCUUUCCAAAGUGGCUCUUUCAUCAGUAAGGCCUUCUGACCUGCAAUGAGAGACAAAAUGUUGAACUAUAUCUCAGGACUAUAGAGCUGCAGGCUACAGGAAUAUAGUUCAUCAUGCUGGUCGGGGACUAUAGAUUGUCAGGCUAUAGGAAUGUAGUUCAUCAUGCUGGUCGGGGGCUAUAGAGAUGCAGGCUAUAGGAAUGUAGUUCAUCAUGCUGGUUGGGGGCUAUAGAGCUGCAGGCUAUAGGAAUAUAGGUUAUCGUGCUGGUUGCUUUCCUUAGAAGUCCACAUUCCAUAACUUCUGCUCCCACUAUCUGAAUGUACCCUCCAUUCCUAUGCUGAAAUCUCAACCUGCACUCAAUGGAUAGCAUUAGGAGAUGAGAUCUUGGAGAGGCAAAUAGUCAUGAGGGCAACAUUAUCUUGAAUGAGACCACUUACCAAGGAGACACAGGCAUGUCCUUCUACCUCAUUAAGAGAAGCUAAAAGGCACCAGCUACAGACAAGAUGUCUGUCCUCACCAGUUGCCAAAGCUGAUGUCACCUAGACCUUGGGCCUACUAGACUUCAGAAUGAUGAAGAAUAUAUUUCCAAGUGCUUUAAAUCACCUAACUUGUGGUGGUUUUGUUGCUGCAUUCUUUAUUAUUAUUAUUAUUAUUAUUAUUAUUAUUAUUAUUAUUAUUAUUAUUAGGUAUUUUCCUCGUUUACAUUUUCAAUGCUAUCCCAAAGGUCCCCCAUACCCACCCCCCCCUUGUUGCUGCAUUCUUAAUAGACUUAGACAGUCCCUCGGUGUCUUAGGUCCUGUCCUUCACAGUAAUCAUUUCAGGCCAUUUACUGGUGAGUAUAAAUGAGGUGUUGCUUUGUAAUAGUCACAACAAGCCACUGGCAAACAGUAUUUCUGAGGUGUUCUUGAGAAAUACCUUGGCCGCAAAGGAUGUGGGAAGCAAUUGAAAGUUUCCUCCUAAAUCAUUUUUUUCCAACCCCACUACAUAUGCUCCCAAAGACCUAGAAGAGGUUAUCACUUAGGGAAGUGCACUUUCUACCCUGAGCACCCGUAGCACACGUUGUCCAAUAGGAGGCUGGGCUCUGGGACCCAACAAACUGUGUUCUACAUGUGCUGCCCAUGUUGUUCCUCAGUGUGGCCAAGCUCGAGGGUGAGGCUCAUAUACCAGGGAAUUACAAGAAGCCCAAGUAAGAAAACAGAAUAAAACAGCAAUGUCUCUGGGCACCAAAGAGGGCUUCUGCUGCUUGCUGAGUGGCACAGAUGAGCCAAUGGACUAUCGGGGACUAAGGAGAAGAUGACAAAGUCUCUUGAGAGUAGGUCAGUAGCCACGGAUGGGAAGGAACCAGCCCAUAGUACAGCAAGCAGCGACCUGCCAACUCC
rnacentral:lncRNA from 1 species